GCCAGUGUGGCUCAGUGGGUAGAGUGUCGGCCUGCGGACUGAAGGGUCCCGGGUUUGAUUCCCGGCCAAGGGCA
rfam:Myotis lucifugus cont2.71865, whole genome shotgun sequence.